UGAGCAGGAAUGAGCAGUAAAUUAUUGCGUUCUAUUUUUUUCUUCCGUUUUUAUUGCAUAGUUACCUUUUUAACCUUUUGUUUUCUUCCUUUGUGUCCGUUUAUAUCAGGAUGUUUUAGUCUUUAGUGAGAUUGUGUCAUUCAAAAAAAUUUCAGACCACACAAAUCUUUCAUUCUCGUCUUCGUAUUCCUCCCAAGUUCUCUCUCUAAACUCAGACCCAUCCUCUAUUCUCUCUCUAUCUCGCGACUCUCAAUUUCUCUUCAUCUUAAGGAACAUAUCACUCCGAUUGGCUUGAAGAUCGUGGUAAUUUCAACUCCAUGUCUUUUUGCUUUUGAACUCCUCCUCAGGAGAAGAAAAAGAGCAGCUCUUCUUCUUCUCCUCCUCCUCUUCUUCUCCUUCGUCGAUGAAGUCCAAUAUUUACCGGCUCUUUGGGAGGGAAAACCUGUGCAUAAGAUUUUCAGUGGUGGCAAACGUACGUUAAAAAACUCCUCUUUUCUAUGAUUGCCUCAUGAAAUGAUAUGGAAAUUGUUUUCGAGUUCUUUUUUUUUUUUGUUUCUUUGCUUGUCUAUUCUAAUUUUAUUUCUGGUGUGGAAAUUGCUGUUGGUGGCGCUUCUGCUGCUGCUACUGUUGGAGCUACGGCUGUUGGGGGAUGGCAAGAAAGACGGAUUUGCGUUCUGAGUUUCUUGAUAUCUUGGAGAGAUUGACUCCAUCGAUGCCCUCUAAGAUGCUUCAAAAACACGCGGAGAGAGAGAGAGAGAGAGACAACACCAAAAACCUUCCGGGGUGACUGCAAUUGGGACAUUUCUGAUCUUCGUCUGGCCUUGUUCUACCCUUGUAAGUCUAAUUUCAGCCAUAUUUAAGAAGAAUUCGCAGCAAUAUUCACUCAAGAUGGGGCAUUUACAAUGAAAAAUACACUGAAGCCCGGUGGAUUAUUAGAGUCACUCGAACUUUAUAGAAGUGAAUAAAAUCCCGAGAAAUUAAGAACUGCUUCUUUGACAACAAAACUCUUCUUCUCCAAAACAGCCUCGGUACCUUGUAAACACACAGAUAUGAAAACUGGAAAGCUGUGUUUUAUGUUGACUCUAGGAUAAUAAUUAGAGUGGUAGUGGCUCUUUAAUUUGUAAAGUUCAAGAAUUUACCGGAAGGAUUCCCCUCCCCAAAAAAAAAGUGAAAGUUAAAGAGGCGAUGGCUAUGAGGCUGGUGUUUCCUA